CCCUACUAUCGUGCUUGGUACUAACCCGCGCCCUGUAAAGACCUCCUAAAGGAAGGCUUGAUCUUAUCAGAUGGAGGCCAACAGGGCAUGCGCACUCCAGUCACUCGUCUUGUACGCACAGACACAGGGAAAGGAGAGAAGAAGAGAGCACAGCGAAUGAUUAAAACGACUGCUUCAGUUUAUCCGUGGGACCAAUUAGUCGAUAGUAACACAAAGCAUCGGGAACACGCACCCGGCCGAAAGCAGCAACUACAACAAAGAAAAAACUUUCCCCGGAAUGUGCCACUCACCGGAGCUGAAAAGAGUCAGGAAAUAUGAGGAGCUGAGGGUGCAGCAAAGGGGUCAAGGCUGGGACUCGAGCCAGAAGCUGCUGUGAUGAAGAUUAUGGCCUCCAUACCCGAGACGCAUACUUCAACCACCAAGUCAUAAAAAUGCCAAGAUCUUUUUUGUUCAAAUGUAAUUCUUUCAAGAUGAUGUUAUAGGAAAGUAAAGCUGGACAGCGGUGCAGUGGUUAGUGCUGUUGCCUCAGAGCAAGAAAGUUCCUGUAUCAAAUCCUAGCUGGAG